rnacentral:rRNA from 1 species
ACGAACGCUGGCGGCGUGCCUAAUACAUGCAAGUCGAACGGUCUUUCUAUGGAAGCUUGCUUCCACUGAGAAGAUAGUGGCGAACGGGUGAGUAACACGUGGGUAACCUGCCCAUAAGAGGGGGAUAACAUCCGGAAACGGGUGCUAAUACCGCAUAGUUUUCUUGAUCGCAUGAUUGAGAAAGGAAAGACGGCCUUUGUGCUGUCGCUUAUGGAUGGACCCGCGGCGUAUUAGUUAGUUGGUGAGGUAACGGCUCACCAAGACGAUGAUACGUAGCCGACCUGAGAGGGUGAUCGGCCACAUUGGGACUGAGACACGGCCCAAACUCCUACGGGAGGCAGCAGUAGGGAAUCUUCCGCAAUGGACGAAAGUCUGACGGAGCAACGCCGCGUGAGUGAAGAAGGUUUUUCCGGAUCGUAAAACUCUGUUGUCAGAGAAGAACAAGUUGGAGAGUAACUGCUCCAGCCUUGACGGUAUCUGACCAGAAAGCCACGGCUAACUACGUGCCAGCAGCAGC